rnacentral:rRNA from 1 species
GAGUUUGAUCGUGGCUCAGAUUGAACGCUGGCGGCAGGCCUAACACAUGCAAGUCGAGCGGAUGAGAGGAGCUUGCUCCUUGAUUCAGCGGGCGGACGGGUGAGUAAUGCCUAGGAAUCUGGCCUGACUAGGUGGGGGACAAACGUUUCGAAAGGAACGCUAAUACCGCAUACGUCCUACGGGAGAAAGCAGGGGACCUUCGGGCCGUUGCGCUAAUCAGAUGAGGCCUAGGGUCCGGGAUUAGCUAGUAGGUGAGGUAAUGGCUCACCUAGGCGACGAUCCGUAACUGGUCUGAGAGGAUGAUCAGUCACACUGGAACUGAGACACGGGUCCAGACUCCUACGGGAGGCAGCAGUGGGGAAUAUUGGACAAUGGGCGAAAGCCUGAUCCAGCCAUGCCGCGUGUGUGAAGAAGGUC